rnacentral:tRNA from 1 species
GGGCCUGUGGCGCAGUUGGGAGCGCGCUUCCAUGGCAUGGAAGAGGUCGAGGGUUCGAUUCCCUCCAGGUCCACCA